AUGUGGAAGAUGUGAAGUUAUGGCAGGCCGGUAGUCCCCGGGCGCCGCCACCCAAACAUUCAACAUGGAUCCUGGCGAUACUUUCCUCUAUCUCUGGCAGCAGAGGAACUUUGAGAGCGAGACAGGCACCGUAGCACAAAAGGCAGAUACAAUUAGAUUUAAUCUUUCUCAAUUGCACUACUUGAAGUGUAAUUUCAGUGAUAUCAAUGAUUUGACUGUUUCAAGUAAGACUCGGAAACUGUUGUUCGAUUAUGGGCAGCUCAUGGAUAAUACAGAGAAAGAUGGAGGACUUAAUAACUAUGCUGAUCCUAUCCUUACUCUUAUUGGUAAUAGUAAAAAUGAGAGCAAAAGCUGGAAAUGUAACUUGCAAUCAAAGGAUAUCAUUGAUAAAUACUUGAAGCCCCUUCCUUCAAUGUCCAGCAUGCUAGCGGAAGACGCCAAGAAACUAGCACACUUGUUUAAUCAACGCAAGGAGAGACAGGUAGCACAAGAACAACAGAGUGAUGGAUGCACGAGUACAGAAAUGGCAGUGUCAAAAAGUCAGGAUUUAACACAAGCCAGGAAUGAAGUAUCAUUUAACUUAGUCAAUGAAGAUUUUACAGAUUUGAAUACAGCAGUUGGGAGAGGCCAGAAAGCACUUGGCACAUCAGAUGGUCUUCCAUUUAGUAAUGGAAAUGGAUCUUUCAGAAGGGAAGAGGUAAAGCCCAACAGUAGUGCUACACUUGGAGGGAGAGGAAUUCACGGAAAAGGAGGUCCCUAUCCUUGGAAUAGAAGCAAAAUACCUGGGACAAAUGAGGGCAGAUGUGAUGGAAGUGAGGAAUCAAUGGGAAUAGAAAGGAAUAUGUCUGGUAGAAUGGAGUCCUUCAGUGGUUCUUUUGAAGGCACCUCCAAUUAUUCUGGAAGAGGUAAAGGUUUCGGACCACCAGUGGAAAGAUCGAGACAAAAUUGGAAGAGUGGAUCUAUGGUAGACACUUCACGUGAGGUACAACAUGGACAGUCUACCAGGAGCUGGAAGGGAAAAGGAAAAGCAGGUUCAAGGAGCUACCAGUGCCAGAGUAGUGGUGAAGAUUUUGGUGAUGGGCUAAGAGGUAUUGGGAGUGAUCCUUCUGACAAUUAUUUUAGGACAGCCUCUCAUCAACUGCAACUAGAACAGCAGAAGAAGUAUGGUAGAGGAGUGAGUGGGGCAUCUUAUGGGACCGGGAAGAGGUCACUAGGUGUUAGGAGAGCUGUCAACACCAAGUUUGUUCCACCUGUGAGAAAAGAAGAUGAAGAAGAUAGUUUUGGUAGUGAAGGGCUUAUGCGAAGAUGCAUGCCACAUAGUAACUCUGGAAGUUCUGGCGUUGCAGCUGAAAACAAUCCUUAUUCUGAGCUCAUGACCGAUGAAAGAUUGAAGAAUAUUGAACCUAAGAUGAUUGAACUUAUAAUGAAUGAAAUUAUGGAUAGUGGACCAUCUGUAACAUGGGAUGACAUAGCUGGACUAGAUCUGGCUAAAAGUACCAUUCAGGAGGUUGUGGUAUGGCCAAUGCUGCGGCCAGAUAUUUUCACUGGCCUUAGAGGACCACCGAAGGGGAUACUGCUGUUUGGUCCUCCAGGAACUGGAAAAACUAUGAUUGGUAAAUGCAUUGCUUGUCAAAGUGGAUCAACGUUCUUCAGCAUCAGCGCAUCAUCACUAACAUCUAAGUGGGUUGGAGAGGGUGAGAAAAUGGUGAGAGCAAUGUUUGCUGUGGCAAGAUGUUUUCCAGAUGUCAUCAGCCAGCUGUUAUCUUCAUUGAUGAGAUUGACUCUCUUCUUACCCACCGCUCAGAUUCAGAACAUGAAAGCUCAAGACGCAUUAAAACUGAAUUUCUUAUUCAACUGGAUGGAGCCACUACAGCCAAUGAUGAAAGAUUGUUGAUGGUUGGAGCAACAAAUCGACCUCAAGAACUAGAUGAAGCAGCCCGAAGAAGACUAGUGAAGAAGCUUUAUAUCCCUUUACCUGAGAGUAAGGCUCGUCGGCAAAUUAUAGAAAAAUUAAUGACAAAUCAAAGCCACAGUUUAGUAACUGAUGAUAUUGAACGCAUCUGUCAAAUGACGGAUGGUUACUCUGGGGCCGACAUGACCAACCUGUGUCGGGAAGCUGCUC
rnacentral:misc_RNA from 1 species